rnacentral:rRNA from 1 species
UACGUAGGGGGCAAGCGUUGUCCGGAUUUAUUGGGCGUAAAGAGCGUGUAGGCGGCCAGACAGGUCAGCUGUGAAAACUCGAGGCUCAACCUCGAGACGUCGGUUGAAACCGUCUGGCUAGAGUCCGGAAGAGGAGAGUGGAAUUCCUGGUGUAGCGGUGAAAUGCGCAGAUAUCAGGAGGAACACCGGUGGCGAAGGCGGGUCUCUGGGCCGAUAUUGACGCUGGAGGAGCGAAAGCGUGGGGAGCGAACAGG